GCAAUGGCUGGCCAAUAUACCACGCAUGAAUUGGGGGUGGUCUGUGGAAGUACUCCCCCAGAAAAUCUUUGAAAUUUGAAUCCCGGAAAUGUCAUUUCCUGCAUUCUGAGCAUCCAAAUUUGCUCCAAAAUUUAUGCUAACUAUACUUGUAUUUGAAAUAAAAGAUGGAAAAAAUGCACAAAAAGUAAAAAAGAAUAUUAACUGUAAUUUAUCAUUACUUAUUAGAGGGAUAAUCCCCAGAAAAUAUUUGAAAUUUGAAACCCGGAAAUGCUAUUUCCUGCAUUCUGAUCAUCCAAAAAAUAAAAAAUUAUUAACAAUAAUUUAUCAUUACUUAGUGGUAGAAAAAAGUAACAAUUUAAAUCGAUUUUGUUAAACAAGGACAAAGGAU